ensembl:lncRNA
UCCUAGCUCUUGGGCACCUUACUAGCCAAAAGGUCAGGCAAAAGAGCGCCAAAAGGAAAUAACAGGUGCUGCAUGCACACAUUCAAUGCGCAACAGCACACCAUACAAUACAAGUAAAAUGAUACGGAACAUAAUUCGGACAAAGUAAAAGACAUACAUUAUGUUAACGCUUGGCGCGGUGCUAGCUCUCAGGCACCUACACAUGGACACUCAAACACUGUCCCAAGUCCUCACAAGUUACAAUAGAUACCCUAGUUAGCGAGCUUUGUGAAACUAGUUAACAUAAAUAUUUAUAUUAUCCACAUUGUAACAAACGUAUGGUAGCAUAACAGUACAUUGUGUAACAUUACCACGGUUUUAUAUUGAACCAUUUCGGAGCCAAGGACAACAUACCUUGCUAGCCGAAGGUCAGGCAAAAUAACAAUAAGGGGGUACGGAAAUACAGAUAACCCGCGAUGGACCAAACCAAAACAUACAAAACUUUUACAAUCACAUGUAUGUACAAUAUUGAUGUGGAAAAGUGUUUGUACACCAAAGAAAAACAUUAGCUAUGCAGCUGUAAUUAAAUAAAUAAAUACACUGAAUUAUGAUUAUUAUCAAAUUAUUAACAUCCCCUCAGAGUUGUCCAUUUUUAAAGAAAUGCAGCCAAUUUAUUCAUUACAUUUAGCUAACAUAGUUAAUCAAGAGAUUCUUACUUUUGCCUCCAUCAGCAUGAUUGUAAUGACAUUUGUAGUUCUUUAUAACCACAUUAGCAGCUAAUUAGCAUUCCAUGUUGGGUAAAUACAGGCAAAUAUAUUGAUAAAAGUCACCUUGACCUAGAGAUUUACACAGAUAUCAAACUGUCACACCAGGGUAAACCUACCUGAACCACAGCCCUUAUUUUGUGAAAAUGGAAUGGAAUGGUGGAAAAACAAUUGGAACCAUUUCCCUGUUUGACCGCUAGGUUUUAUGGUAUUAUGACUCAUACUGUGGUACUCUAUAGGGCUCCGGCCAAAAUAAGUGCUGUCUUUCAGGAAUCAGUGGGAAUGACCUCACCCUCACAGACCUGGGUGACCCCAUCAAUGACGGUGAUGUUAUGAAGGAAGUCAAGUGAGUGAUUUACACUAAUGACACAUAUGUGACUGGUUACAGGAUCACAUAGACCUACAAAUACAGAUUCUGUAGUAGGUCAAAGAUCACCACCUAUGGAGAGGUAGGCCCAGAGCCAUGUAUUUGGUUAGUUGGGACAUUCAAAUAUCUGCAUUAUGUUGCAUUUACAUCAAUAUGUAAACAUUACACGACACAGUAUAAUCAAAGAUAUCCAUAUGAGAGCUGGCUCCCCAUGGGCAAUAUUGACAUUUUUAACAAUGCUAUGUAACCGAACAUUAUUUUAUAAUUGACUUGUAAAUGAAAGGCUCAAAAGGCGCUAACAUGGAGUCAUGCCUAAAACUUGGCAGACUUCUCUAAAUAUAUGACUCUGGAUAGGCAGGCCGAGUCAUCUCAUAGUAUUGGAACCAUAGAAUUCGAGUGAUUCUAUUCAAAUUCUAGAAUGAUUAAUUUUACUUCUAUGAUUCUAAUUCUAUAAUUGGAAAACAUCCUCACACUCACAUUAUAGCACAUUAUAGUGACCUUAGAGUGAUUCCUUUUUCUGUAUCUAGACCUGAUACAGAUCAGAGAGACAGACCAAGUUGGAAGAGGCUGUUCUAGAGACAGAUAUCCCAACUCUGUGACUUGAGGAUGAAGGAGAAAUUAAGAUGCAGGAGGCUGAUCUGAAGACAGAUGGCACAUCUCAGUCACAGGAGGUAUGAUGCAUUGCGUUUUGUGUUUUAAUGACGCAGUGAAGAUUAAAAUGCCAAAUUAAUUUCCCAAGCUUUAGCUUAUAAAGGUCUUCUAAUCUAGGAGGCCAAAGGAGAGAUUGAGUUAAAUCAGGUUGAUCUGAAGACAGCCACAUCAACUCUGACACUGGAGGUCGAAGGAUAGAGUGUGAUGCAGGAGAGUGAUGAUCUAGAGACAGCUGGGACAUCUCAAUCCCAGGAGACUGAACGAGUGGCAAAGGUAAAUGCUUCCAGAUAACAGUGUGUGUGUGUGUACAUGUCUGUUUGUGCACACAGACAGUAGUUCGUAAACAGACAUUGCGUGAACAGUGCCUAUGGCGAAUUUGAUUGAAUUCCAGCCUAAGUCUGCUUUCUGUCAUCCCCAUCAGGCUGCAGUGGUGACCUUCACUACCAUGACCCGCAAGGCUGCAGCCUCCCAGACCAGCCUCACCCUCAGCAGGGGAAAGAGAAGCUACCCAGACCUACACGCCUUUGUGCAGGACAUAAAGGAUGGGUAGUUGCUCUUUGGUUCCCCAUGCAUCCCCUAGAUAUGUUCGAUAUUAGAGCCUUGGUCAACAAUAGUUCCUUAUUUAAGGAAUAGGGGCCAUUUGGGACGUACCCAUAGGGACAAUCUCAAUUGCAUUCUCCUCGAGUCCUCUCUUCUCGCCUCCUUCUCAAACCCAUUGGAUGAGAAAGCCCUCCCUUUUGACCUUCUCGUCCAAUGGGUUUUGAGAAGGAGGUGAGGUGUCUCGGGAAAUACAAGGGACUCAACUGACCAAUCAGGGAUGUUUGGAUGUGGCCUACUUCCGUAGAGGUCCAUCCAUAACGUAAUCUAAGAGAAUAGAGGUAAUAUCAUGUAGUUUAUUUGUGUACCUGUUUUUAUUUACUUUUCAGCCAUUGGAAUCUGCUGAGUGAGAAUAUGCGUGCCGGGGUGAGUUAUAGUCACUUCUAAAGUAGUUCAUGUUGGUAAGAUGGACCAAACAUUCCAAACUCUUAUUGGUGGAAAUCGUGCAGGAGCUUUAAUUCAGAGGUUCCCAAACUUUUCUACUUAGGCCCCCCUUUCCAGCAUUGUGGAACAUCCUGAACCACUGCUUUAAUUGACUAGCUUGAGUAAACACAUGGUGCAGCAGUGCAGCUCCGUUAAAAGACCAUAUUGAGUUAGUUUGUUAACAUUUCAGAUGAGCAGAGAUGAGUUUAGUGCUAGGUGCAUAUGGAUAUUACAAAUUGGGUGAUGGAGUCUACAUCCACUGUGGUCGUUCCUGCCAUUGACCUCACUAUGCAGAUCGAGCUCUCUGAUUCGUCAAGCUCUUCUGGAUCAGGAAGUAAUGAGACAAGAGAAGUGACCUCUCUUGGCCGCAGCGUCAGAUUCAGCUUUUGUGGUGGACCCAGUAGACGCACCAGUUCUGGAACUGCUUGAAGCACACAAAC